rnacentral:rRNA from 1 species
CCUACGGGAGACAGCAGUGGGGAAUAUUGGUCAAUGGACGCAAGUCUGAACCAGCCAUGCCGCGUGCAGGAAGACGGCUCUAUGAGUUGUAAACUGCUUUUGUACGAGGGUAAACGCAGAUACGCGUAUCUGUCUGAAAGUAUCGUACGAAUAAGGAUCGGCUAACUCCGUGCCAGCAGCCGCGGUAAUACGGAGGAUUCAAGCGUUAUCCGGAUUUAUUGGGUUUAAAGGGUGCGUAGGCGGUCGGAUAAGUUAGAGGUGAAAUCCCGAGGCUCAACUUCGGAAUUGCCUCUGAUACUGUUAGGCUAGAGAGUAGUUGCGGUAGGCGGAAUGUAUGGUGUAGCGGUGAAAUGCUUAGAGAUCAUACAGAACACCGAUUGCGAAGGCAGCUUACCAAGCUACUUCUGACGUUGAGGCACGAAAGCGUGGGGAGCAAACAGGAUUAGAUACCCCUGUAGUC